rnacentral:rRNA from 1 species
UACAGAGGUGGCAAGCGUUGUUCGGAAUUACUGGGCGUAAAGGGUGCGUAGGCGGCCAUCUAAGUCAGACGUGAAAUCCCCCGGCUUAACCUGGGAACUGCGUCUGAUACUGGACGGCUUGAGUAUGGGAGAGGGAUGUAGAAUUCCAGGUGUAGCGGUGAAAUGCGUAGAUAUCUGGAGGAACACCGGUGGCGAAGGCGACAUCCUGGACCGGCAUUGACGCUGAGGCGCGAAAGCCAGGGGAGCAAACGGG